GUAAAAAGCAGACUAUCGCCAGUCGUAUAGGCCUAGUAGGUAGGAGAGCGGAAUAAGUCUAAUCGAAUUCUCAAAUUUUUUAAAGUGAAAGCUAUAUGAUGUAACCAACUGUAUCUGAGGGAAAAUGAGACUUCCGAUCAUAUAUAAUUUGGAUAAAGGACUUAGUAAUGGUACUACUAGUAGCAUCAAAGGAAUUCUUACCAGUGCAAAUUUGAUUUCGGCAUCUUUUCUGGGUGUAUUCUGUCUGACUUGUGAUCGACUUGCUCAGACCGCUGCAUGUCGAAGGAACAGAGUCUUUGCAGCGCUUCUUGAUAAUUUUACCCAUGGUAUAAUUGGUUCAUGGACAUGGGCAGUAGUUCUAGGUGGAAACCUCAACAGUACCAAGAAUUUACGUCAAAUAAUAUUGGCUGGCAUCCUUGCUAGUUGCAUGGAUGUCGACCAUUUUCUUGCAGCACGGUCUAUUCACUUGAAGGAUGCGACAUCACUUCAGCAGCGACCGUUGUUUCACAUGACCACGUUGAUACCUGUAAUAGCUAUUAUCAGCGAGAUUAUCAUCUGUGCAAGUGGACUUCAUCGACUUCACUACUUUCCAUACCUUUUUACUCUCUCCUGGUUUUCACACCACAUUAGGGAUGCAACACGGAGGGGUCUGUGGCUAUGGCCAUUUGGGAGCACCCCACCUGUACCAUAUGUGAUUAGUCAAGAAUGAACUCAAUCUCACUUUAGGAAUUCUGGACAGAGCAUCGGUGUUGUCAUUAGACGCACCGAAGUCAUGACAGUCGAGUACCCGCCAAACAGGUCAUGUGAAGAAAACUCACUGAUGUCAACCUCAGGUCAGGUCAACAUACACAUUAUCAAAUUCAUUAUGCUUUUCUGUUUCUGACAAGAGUGAAUCCUUUUCACAUGCUCUAUUACCACUGAUCUGUAUAGGAUUUAGGGAUUUAGUGUAUUAACUUUGACCAAGAUGAAUGAUAUUAUUAAUCUCCUUAAGUUCAAUGCCACAAUCUUAAAUGCAUCAUUGCUUUCUUUACCCACCCUAAAAGCUGAUUUAAUUUUUGCAAUUAUUUCUCCAAAUUUGUAAUUGAGCAAUUUCACAGUAAAUAGACAUGCUCCAAGCAAUAUUUUUUAGGAAGCUAUAACUAAAGAUUUUAUUGUUUAAAAUUAAAUAUUUUUACAUUUAUAUUAUCAUAUCAAUGAGUAUACAUAUUAAAAAUCAUUUCAUGAUCACACAAUUCACAGUAAAAAAUAUGAUAUAUUGACAUACUUUUUAGCCAUAUUUCACCGUACAAAAAUGUUACAUGACAAAAAUGUCUAAAAUUAGAUGUAAGAUAUUUAAAAAAAAAUUGUAUUAUAAGGAUGGAUUCAUUAUUUCUAUAAGAAAUAUAUUGGAAACUAAUAAGAUAAAACACUAGAAAGAAAAAUAAAACCCUUUUUUAUUUAAAAAAUAUGCAAUUUGAUGGUUUUUGUAACGGACGUAACAUUGUAUGUCAAAAAUUUAGGAAGUUAAAAAUGGCCCAAUAUUCCUAAAAAAGAAAUAUAUCUGUUACUUUUAAAUGUUUAUCAAAUUAGUGAAUAUAUACAGUAAGAAAUAAAAAAAAAAUUGGUAAUCAUGCAUUUUAUUUUUAGUGCAUCCACAAUGGAAAGUCAUUGACCCAAAUGUAUGUCAAAAUCCUGUUCGUCGGUUACAUGGGAAUAGGAUUUGUAGUGUAUUAAAAUACAAACAUGCAUAUUUCUUUUGAAAAGAUAAUUUAACUAUCUUAUAAUACCCCUUUUCCAUUGAUAUCAUAUGUUCUGUUCCACAGAGUUUAGCCAAAAUCAUCUGUAUUCUAUUUUUCCAUGAAAAUGUUAGGAUAUCAUGUCCAUUUACUGUGAAAUUACUCAAUUACCAAUCCAGAUAAAGUCAUCUACAUGACAGGCCAAAAUUCAAUAAACCUGUUGAUUAUCAUUUAUCCAGUAAAACACAGCAGAAGCAACUUUAGAAAUCCUUGCUCCAGAUUCAGUCAUAAAUGCUUUCACUCUUUUGCAUUUGCAAUGUACCCACCAAACAGGUCACGUGAAUAAAACUCACUGAUGUUAACCUCAGGUCAGGUCAACAUACACAUUGUCAAGCAUACAUUUAUAUUGUUGGUGUUGCCAAGCGGCAAUAAAUAAAUAAAGUGCUAUCCUGUCGACUUCUUGAAUGAAUUGAUUGAUGCAUUCUUCUGUCAUCCCUUCCUUCAUUACCAGUUUAAUUUUCUUCUUAUCAUCUCUUUCUUGUAAUUCCUCCCACUUCUUAAACUUGAUGGGACGAUCCUUAUCCAUAUUGAGGAUUCAAGCCCCUUAGUUUCACUGUACCACGCUCCUUGCAGCAUUUAAUUUGUUCCUAUAAUUGAGCACUGUUAAGCUAGAAAGAAAACCUACAGUACCCUUCAACGUCAUAAUUUGUGUGGAUGUCUUUCUUGUAAACUGACCACAGCUGAGGAGGGGACUUUCCUUCAUUGUAGUUAUCAGUUUUGUCAUCACUGGCGUUGAAGUCUUGACAAAGCGUAAAAUGCUGGUUGUACAGUAUGUGGGAACUAGGGCGGUAAUGGAGGGCCAUGAGUUGUUUUACAGCCCUGGUGAGUCCCAGUAUCCUUGUUGUAGGCAGUAAACAAUUCAAGAUCUUUUACCUGUAAAUGAUGAUGAUGAAUUUUAAAUUGGUGAUCCGCUAGUAGCGGAUCACCUCUUGUUAUUGUCAGGAUCAUCUUUUUUUUCUUAUUCUCCUUUCUUUCUCCCCUUUUCUGU
rnacentral:misc_RNA from 1 species